GUGUUUGUGUCACAUUAGCUACAAUUGACUUCAUUGAAACUGAAAAUGGAUGGUUCUACCUUGCCUGUAAAAAAGAUUUUAAGAAGGUUAAGGAGAUAAAUGUUGAAGGGCUAACAAAGUUUUUGUGUGAAAAGUGCAAUACUUAUGUUGAACCUGUUCCAAGAUUCAAAGUCCAGAUUAGGGUAGUUGAUGAUUCUGGAAGUGCUUCAUUUGUUGUUUUGAUAGUGAAUUGGUGCAUUUUCUAGGUAAAUCUGUUUUAUACCUACGAGAAAAACAAACAAAGAUUUCUAGCACCAUAUGCAACGAGCACUCGGAUGACAACUGUUCAAAUAGUGGUGCCACGCCGAAUCAAAAAAGGUGUUUUUAAAGAUGUUAAUGACAUGAAUGCAGAUGACCAAUUUACAUCAACUGAGUUUUCUACUUUUCAACAACCAAAUAUCAGCGAAAGAUUAAGGUUGAGCACGAAAAGGAUGAAGAUGAUUCUUGAGUCUUUGUUGUAUGCUCAAGUUGUUAAUCUGAGAUUAAUAAUAUGUUCUUUUCUAAUUUUAUUUUUAGAAUAAUAUAAUGUGAGCUAUUUUGCUA